CUCGUUGAGGGAGCCGGCCGCAAGGUCCUGAUCGAUUGCGGUUCGGGCGUGAGCCAGCGCCUGGUCGCCGCCGGCCAUCGAGGC
rnacentral:tRNA from 1 species